rnacentral:rRNA from 1 species
AUUGAACGCUGGCGGCAGGCCUAACACAUGCAAGUCGAGCGGAUGAAGGGAGCUUGCUCCUGGAUUCAGCGGCGGACGGGUGAGUAAUGCCUAGGAAUCUGCCUGGUAGUGGGGGAUAACGUCCGGAAACGGGCGCUAAUACCGCAUACGUCCUGAGGGGGAAAGUGGGGGAUCUUCGGACCUCACGCUAUCAGAUGAGCCUAGGUCGGAUUAGCUAGUUGGUGGGGUAAAGGCCUACCAAGGCGACGAUCCGUAACUGGUCUGAGAGGAUGAUCAGUCACACUGGAACUGAGACACGGUCCAGACUCCUACGGGAGGCAGCAGUGGGGAAUAUUGGACAAAGGGCGAAAGCCUGAUCCAGCCAUGCCGCGUGUGUGAAGAAGGUCUUCGGAUUGUAAAGCACUUUAAGUUGGGAGGAAGGGCAGCAAGUUAAUACCUUGCUGUUUUGACGUUACCAACAGAAUAAGCACCGGCUAACUUCGUG